GAUGUGCGGGUAUCAUUCGGGUAGAGGGGUAGGUGGUAGUGUAGUGACAACUCUAUCAUCCUUUGCAUUCCCCCACGAUCAGGUAUUCGUAUAGGAGUUCUGUAAAGUCUUUAUUGGCUGGAUAUCCAGCUGCGGGGAUCUCCCCUCAUCUCAGGCUUAGUUCUAACUCUAUUUAUUGCUAAUUAGAUAAUCCGCUAACAGUUCUAUGCAUAGUUAUAUGUGACCCGUGCCUGCUCAAUAGAUUUAUUUCUUUAUUCUUUAUUUAUUAUUUCUCUUUUAUUUUAUCCUUG
rnacentral:lncRNA from 1 species